CGAAGCCGCGAAGGUAAAUCAGUCGAGGGAGCAUCUCCGACACGGCAACAACUGCAGCGCACUUUUUUUCAACUACCUUCUUCAUCGCAUAACCGGUUCGCAAUCAUAGGUAACUAUGGCGUUGUGUUGCUGUUGGAUGUUAGCACGAGUGUUAGUGUGAGCACGAAAGAAAAGGAGAUAGAAAUUUUGUCGAGCGGUAAUUGAAUUUCGUCAUGGUAAACUAUGCCGUCGUGCUGCAUUGCUGCUCUUGGUUGUUGUGUCGUUGAUCGCUGGGUCUUACACUACAGCUACUGCACUUGCCCUGAAGUAUUAUUCUUCUUCCCCGAGCUAGACUACUAAUAAAGCGCCUGAAUACUACACCGAUGCUCCAGUACUAAUGAAGACCGAUGCUAAGUACUACUCUGCUCUCAGCUACACCGAUUCUCCAGCUUAUUACAACACUAAAGUGGUCGAAUACUACACAGAAGUGCCCCAGUACGAUAGAGUGUUCAUCUCCGACACCCGACACAGCAACAACUGCAGCGCAAUAUUUGUCACCAACUGUAUUCUUCGUCGUAAUACCGAUUCGCAAUAAUGGUUAACUAACUAUGGCGCCGUGCUGUUGUUGGGAGUUGUAUCGUUGAUGGCUGUGUCGAUCAGCGGUGUACCGAUGUCUCCUGGGUGUGGUGAAUAUCAAGAAACAGCAGCGAAAGAAUACUAUACCAUGCCGCCUCCUUAUUAAACAACAACGUCAAUUCCUACUUACUAUACGGAGGCCUUCAAGUACUACACCACCAAGGCUCCUGAGUAUUAAACUGCAACCUACGCAGCUCCAUCUCAGGAAACAUGAUUAACUGGGUCGUGCCGCUGUUGGAUAUUAUAUCAUUGAUGGCUGGGUCGACCACUGGUGUGCCGAUGUCUCCUGGUUAUGGUGAGUACCAAACUGCAACGAUGCCGCCUUACUACACAACGAAGUCAACAUACACAAAAUCUGUUACUACACCGAGGCUCCCAAGUACUACACCACCGAGUUGUCUGCCCCAGCCUACUACACCGACGCGUUCAAGUACUACUCUGUUCCAAGUUACUACCAAACUCAGGAUUUUGUUUACUACACCAAGGCCACCAAGUAUUACACUACAACCAUGCUAACUAUGGCGUCGUGCUGCUGUUCGUUGUUGUAUCCCUGAUGGUUGGGUCGACUACUGGUGUACCGAUGUCUCGUGGGUAUGGGGGAUACCAAACCGCAACGCCGGCGUCUUACCAAACAACAACAUACGAAGGCAGCGGAGUACUACACCACGAAGGCAGCGGAGUACUACACCACGAAGGGAGCCGAGUACUACACCACGAAGGGAGCCGAGUACUACACCACGAAGGGAGCCGAUAAUUCGUACUACGUUGAACCGGAUUACUAAACCGAUGCUUCAGUUUACUACACUACAACCUGCGCUUUCUCCCAGAUACUACACCACCAAGGCAACCGAAUAUUACAUCACUACUUACGCUACUACCACCUACUACACCGAAGUAUCACUCUGCCCCGAGUUAUUACAUCACUAAGGCAGCCGACUAUUACACCAUAAACUACGCUUCCGCAACUUACUACAUGGAGCUUCCUUAAUGCCAGAGCCGACUAUUUGAGUUUAUUAUUAUUUGUCGGUAAAUAAUAAUAAUAAAAAUUAAGUAAAUAAAAAUUUUAAUGCGGGUAAUUCUUUUGCAAGACUUUGGUAGUAACUCAAGCAUGUCAACGUUGUUUCAUGUCUCAGAGGUGAUUACUGCCAUAGUCACUCUACAUACGGACAUAUUUUAGCGGUUUUACGAUGAUAUUUCAAGGCUAAGUUACGAACAAUCUAGAAACUGUUGGAUCUGUUAAAGGGAAGUGGCUGAUCUUGGUAUAAAUGAAAGACAUUGAAGUUGAGAUAAUUCCUAAACAAGACUUGAUAUAAACUAAUAGACAAUGAACAAAACA